UACAGAGGGGGGCAAGCGUUUGUUCGGAAUUACUGGGCGUAAAGGGCGCGUAGGCGGCCGCCUAAGUCAGACGUGAAAUCCCUCGGCUCAACCGGGGAACUGCGUCUGAUACUGGGUGGCUUGAAUUCGGGAGAGGGAUGCGGAAUUCCAGGUGUAGCGGUGAAAUGCGUAGAUAUCUGGAGGAACACCGGUGGCGAAGGCGGCAUCCUGGACCGGCAUUGACGCUGAGGAGCGAAAGCCAGGGGAGCAAAGCGGGAUUAAGCAA
rnacentral:rRNA from 1 species